GGGCUUUUAAAGCUGAUUUCUCUGAGCACAAUGGUGUUUUUAGGGGUGCCACUGUGCGCCUCAAAUUUUCUGCAAGUUCCUCAUCAUUGCAUGCUGGGACUGGAGAAAGGAGUUGCAAACCAUAGUGCACCAAGUCAGUCCUAUGACUACAAACAUCCUCAUAGAAUCCAUAUUUUUCACUCAACUGGAUCAGUUCAGGCAUCGACAGGGUUCUCGGUGUUUUGCCACAAGUUUCAGUGAACUCUUGGUUCAUGCAUGAGGUGUAAUACUGCAGGAUGAAUUGCAAAUGAGUCUUACCAGGAGCUUCAGAAAACUUGCAAGUCCAGUUGUACUUCAGUGCUGUACCUAUCCCUAAUGCAAGAUACCUGGGGAAUGGAAAAUGGAGAUGCCACCCAGGUGACAUCCUUUGCUGCUACUCAUAGGAGGCACAAACUUUUAUAAUGAUGUUACACUCUUACCUGCAAGCUGAUUGAAGUGUAAAGUCGUCCUUAUGCUUUGCGUGGACAACGGGUAAAACCAUGUGUUCGAGAAAUCCCAGGCACUCCUCAAGGUUGGCAAUAAUGUAUCCUUUGGUGCACUUGGAAGCUAUGUGAAAGCGGAGCCUCGUGAGUAUAAGGCCAAUGCAAGUUUCUCAGGCGCAAGGACAAAAUCCUGGCUAACUGGUUCCACAACUGUGCCCAAGAAUCCUGAACACUGUCUCAAAAAAUACUGAAGAGUUUCAUGUUGACAUUCUGGACCUGUGUAGAAUGUUUGCAGGCUGUAUCAGUAAAAGCUCUGUUUGGCAAAAUUUACAUGGUGAAGAAUGUAAUGCCUACCUGCAACGCCGUCGAUGACUUCGCAGGCCCAUUUGUACUUCAAAAUGGCCAAUUCCUUGUAUUCUAAGAUCUCGUUGCUUUUUGGUGCUUCAUCAUCAGUGGUACAGAUAUUAAAAAUGGUCUUACUCACACACUGCUUAAAUUGCUGUAGUCCCCUGAAAUGAGACUGCCAUAUUUUAGCUAAUGGUUUUAUUUUUUGCUAUUUUUUCUUUGUGCACUAGGAUUAGGUUACAUGCUUCCCAAGCGUAAGACUUGCUUUAGGAAGUAAGUGGUAUUUUUAGUUGGUUGAUUGUGUGCCAUUACUGGAACUAAUAGCCAAUUCUGGAAUCAUUAAAGUAUGGAUCGCCUCAUAGAUCCCAAACUUGCUUGUGAGAAGAUCACAGUGCUUUCUCACUUUUGUGCUAUGUUACUUCGGUCAUGCAGAAGAGUGAAAUAAACUUCUAGCUAUAGCUAUCAACAACAAAGCCUU
rnacentral:lncRNA from 1 species